AAAGUAAAAGUUAAAAAUCCUAUUAUGAUAGAAAGAAAAUUUUUUGAAAAGAAAAUAAUAAUAAUUUGAUUGAAACCAACUUGUUCCUUAUAUGAUGAGCUCUUUAAAAGAAUAAAAAAUUGAAGUCACAGUUUGCUGCAGAACAUCUAUCAUUUCAGAACGCAGAAUAAGAAAGAAAUAUAAUAUGAAAAUGUUGUCGCAUUGUUAUAAAACUUCUGGUGUUUUUAACAAAUAUGCUAAAAUUAUUGGGACACCAACAUCUAGACAAUUAAAAUUAAAAAUUAUUCCGCCCAGAGAAGAAGAAACUCAUGAAACCAAAAACCGCCGUCUAGGAAGAUUUUUCUCACCGCACUUGAGCAUUUACAGACCCCAAUUAACCUCGGUUAUGUCUAUAUCGAAUCGAGCCAGCUCAUUCUUACUUAGUAUGUAUACAUGGAGCCUAGGAAUUGGCGCUUUAAUAUCAUCGCACGACAAUGCACAUUUUGUUACUAUGCUGGAGGGAUUGCAAUUAAAUUCUACUUCUAUUUUUAUUUUAAAAUUUUUGAUCGCGUUUCCGUUUUGUUAUCAUUGGUGGGCUAGUACCAGGGUGUUGAUUUGGGAGACAGGCAACUUCCUCUCGUUGAAAGGAAUUUAUGCGACCGGUUAUUCAGCGCUGGCGGCUACAUUCAUUUCAGCAAUUGGUUUGGCUAGCUUACAAAUAAUUU